rnacentral:rRNA from 1 species
UCAGACGAUGCGUCAUGCAUAUCAAUAAGCGGAGGAAAAGAAACUAACAAGGAUUCCCCUAGUAACGGCGAGUGAAGCGGGAAGAGCUCAAAUUUGAAAUCUUAAAGGGUUUCCCUUUACGAAUUGUAGUUUAAAGAAGUGUUUUCUGUUGAGGUUUUGGUAAAAGUUCUUUGGAAUAGGACAUCAUAGAGGGUGAGAAUCCCGUAUUUGACCUUUACUUUCAACUUUGUGAUACACUUUCAAAGAGUCGGAUUGUUUGGGAAUGCAGUCCAAAAUGGGUGGUAAAUUUCAUCUAAAGCUAAAUAUUGGCGAGAGACCGAUAGCGAACAAGUACCGUGAGGGAAAGAUGAAAAGAACUUUGAAAGGAGAGUUAAACAGUACGUGAAAUUGUCAAAAGGGAAGCGUUUGACACCAGUGUUGUUUUUCUGAAAAUCAAUUAAAGAACUGUUUAUGCUAAGUUGUUUAGACUUUAUCAGCUAACUGUUUAGUUUUGAGCUUUUCUUUAAUGCACUUUUCAGUUAACAAGUCAACAUCAAUUUCUUUUGCUGUAAAAAAGCUUGAGGAAGGUGGCUUGAGAUUCGUCUUAAGUGUUUAUAGCCUCUUGCCUAUGCAGUCGGAGAGAUUGAGGUCUGCAGCGUAGAUCCUUCGGGGCUAAAUGCAUUUGUGCUAAGUUAUAGCAUUUUAUAGACAACUUGUUGACUAUGAUUUGUCUUGUAGCUUACUCGCUUAUGUUAUUUUACCUACGCUUAGGAUGUUGAAUCUGUGCGAGACUAC